UGGGGAAUUUUGGACAAUGGGCGAAAGCCUGAUCCAGCAAUGCCGCGUGUGUGAAGAAGGCCUUCGGGUUGUAAAGCACUUUUGUCCGGAAAGAAAUCCUCUGGGUUAAUACCUCGGGGGGAGUGACGGUACCGGAAGAAUAAGCACCGGCUAACUACGUGCCAGCAGCCGCGGUAAUACGUAGGGUGCAAGCGUUAAUCGGAAUUACUGGGCGUAAAGCGUGCGCAGGCGGUUUUGUAAGACGGAUGUGAAAUCCCCGGGCUUAACCUGGGAACUGCAUUCGUGACUGCAAGGCUAGAGUAUGGCAGAGGGGGGUAGAAUUCCACGUGUAGCAGUGAAAUGCGUAGAGAUGUGGAGGAAUACCGAUGGCGAAGGCAGCCCCCUGGGCCAAUACUGACGCUCAUGCACGAAAGCGUGGGGAGCAAACAGGAUUAGAUACCCUGGUAGUCCACGCCCUAAACGAUGUCAACUAGUUGUUGGGGAUUCAUUUCCUUAGUAACGUAGCUAACGCGUGAAGUUGACCGCCUGGGGAGUACGGUCGCAAGAUUAAAACUUAAAGGAAUUGACGGGGUCAUAGCUGUUUCCU
rnacentral:rRNA from 1 species